ACUCUAGGUAUUAAGGAGAAACAUUACAUCAGUCAUCAUAUGAAACAUGAAAACUGGUGGUGCAGCCAGGCGCCUCAGGAUACUCAGCCCCACAACAGUCAUAAAAUUUGGCAGCAUAUGGUGGAUCAUCAGGUCCCAAUUCAUAGUACCUUUUCUGGUCAUCGUGACGGCGACAGACAAAGAAGGAAGGAUGGAAGCGGCAAGCAGAGGAGGCGUUAGAAGAGGAAGUAAAAGACUGUUUGCAUCUCUUGCACAGCUUCUCCUUCUCCUUGACCUUCCCUAUCUCUUCUUUCUCCAUUUCGCACUCUUUGCUCAAGCUUAUGGCUCUGGCAGAGGCACUACAAAUCGUGCAAUGGAUUUUCGCGUCUUCCGAUAUCCUCC
rnacentral:misc_RNA from 1 species